AGGACGCGGGACUCCUCAUCAGGGGGCGGAGCCAGAGGGGCGGGGCGGAGUUUAGAACCUGUCUUGUACUGGGCAACGAAUGGGGCGCAUGCGUGCAGAGGGGACUUUCGGAGGCCAAAUAGUUGGGUCCACGUGACCCAGGGGUGUGCUCUGCUGCAGCUUCGGUCUCGUGUCCACCUAGCGGGCUAAUUUGACCGGAUUUCUGCAGAGAUGCGCACGAAACCUACAGAUCAUAGAGACCAAAAAUAACUGGGCAGAGGAAGUGCAUCUGUGAACUCACUCAGCCCCACCAGCACCCGUCUCCAGUGGGGCUGGAAACUUUCCCUCUGCCCUCUGGUAACAACCACUUCCUAACCACAUUUUUCGAUCCCAUAAUGGGAUAGACUAAAGAGACAAGCCAUGACCACUGGUACAAUCAGCCCUUCCUUCCCAACCAGUACCCAGUUCCUCCAACCUUAUGUAGCACUAAUGAUUUGGCUUCAAGCUCCUUAAAACACUGACCUUGAAAUCUGAGCUCAAGGGGUCAGACAAGUGGGGCUGGGGUGGGGAGGGCGGCUGUGUAAUUUUAAAAAGCAUAUUGAGCCUUAUACUUUUUUAUAUGUGGGAAAUAAAAAUAGUCAUAC